rnacentral:rRNA from 1 species
AGACCCGAAACCCGGUGAUCUAGCCAUGGGCAGGUUGAAGGUUGGGUAACACUAACUGGAGGACCGAACCGACUAAUGUUGAAAAAUUAGCGGAUGACCUGUGGCUGGGGGUGAAAGGCCAAUCAAACCGGGAGAUAGCUGGUUCUCCCCGAAAGCUAUUUAGGUAGCGCCUCGUGAACUCAUCUCCGGGGGUAGAGCACUGUUUCGGCUAGGGGGCCAUCCCGGCUUACCAACCCGAUGCAAACUGCGAAUACCGGAGAAUGUUAUCACGGGAGACACACGGCGGGUGCUAACGUCCGUCGUGAAGAGGGAAACAACCCAGACCGCCAGCUAAGGUCCCAAAGUCAUGGUUAAGUGGGAAACGAUGUGGGAAGGCCCAGACAGCCAGGAUGUUGGCUUAGAAGCAGCCAUCAUUUAAAGAAAGCGUAAUAGCUCACUGGUCGAGUCGGCCUGCGCGGAAGAUGUAACGGGGCUAAACCAUGCACCGAAGCUGCGGCAGCGACACUUUAGUGUUGUUGGGUAGGGGAGCGUUCUGUAAGCCGUUGAAGGUGUCCUGUGAGGG